GACGAACGCUGGCGGCGUGCCUAAUACAUGCAAGUAGAACGCACAGUUUAUACCGUAGCUUGCUACACCAUAGACUGUGAGUUGCGAACGGGUGAGUAACGCGUAGGUAACCUGCCUGGUAGCGGGGGAUAACUAUUGGAAACGAUAGCUAAUACCGCAUAAUAUUGAUUAUUGCAUGAUAAUUGAUUGAAAGAUGCUAUUGCAUCACUACCAGAUGGACCUGCGUUGUAUUAGCUAGUAGGUGAGUUAACGGCUCACCUAGGCGACGAUACAUAGCCGACCUGAGAGGGUGAUCGGCCACACUGGGACUGAGACACGGCCCAGACUCCUACGGGAGGCAGCAGUAGGGAAUCUUCGGCAAUGGACGAAAGUCUGACCGAGCAACGCCGCGUGAGUGAAGAAGGUUUUCGGAUCGUAAAGCUCUGUUGUAAGAGAAGAACGGGUGUGAGAGUGGAAAGUUCACACUGUGACGGUAUCUUACCAGAAAGGGACGGCUAACUACGUG
rnacentral:rRNA from 1 species